CUUUUACUCCCUUCAUCUCAAAAUGCUUGUCUUGUAAGAUUUGUCUUGAUACGGAUGUAUCUAGAGACGUUUUAGUGUUAGAUACAUCCGUAUCUAAAUAAAUUUAAUACAAACUUUUUGGGACAAAGGUAAUAGUAC
rnacentral:pre_miRNA from 1 species